rnacentral:rRNA from 1 species
AUUAGCAAGCAUUGUAUUGUGAGUUUGAUUGGGUUAGUAUAUGUGAGAAUGAUGGUCACACACUGAAGCUAAGCAAGGCUGCGCUCGGUCAGUACCUGGAUGGGAGACCUUAUGGGAAAGCUAGAUUGCUGCUG